rnacentral:rRNA from 1 species
CAGUCGCCGCGGGAAUACAGAGGAUGCAAGCGUUGUCCGGAAUUAUUGGGCAUAAAGGGCUCGCAGGCGGUUUCUUAAGUCUGAUGUGAAAGCCCCCGGCUCAACCGGGGAGGGUCAUUGGAAACUGGGAAACUUGAGUGCAGAAGAGGAGAGUGGAAUUCCACGUGUAGCGGUGAAAUGCGUAGAGACGUGGAGGAACACCAGUGGCGAAGGCGACUCUCUGGUCUGUAACUGACGUUGAGGCUCGAAAGCGUGGGGAGCAAACAGGAUUAGAUACCCCCGUAGUCCCUGUCUCUUAUAC